UCAUUAUAUGACAAUACAUAUAUCAAAAUUGGAACAAUAUAUAAAAGAGUAGCAUGUCCCCCUGUGCAAGGAUGACAUGCAAAAUCGUCCAUGAAGUGUUCCAACACAUA